rnacentral:lncRNA from 1 species
UUCAGAUAUGUCUGUUUUUCUGCGUAACAUGAAUUAUCCAAGAAAAAUGUAGACACCUACUUAAAGUAAUAGAAAAAGCAUUGAAUCAGGGUCAGAGACUUCAAAGUAAUCCAUUAACCUCUUGGUACCUCAGUUUAUUCAUCUCUGAAAUGGAAGUGAUGAUAACUAUCCUACUUUUCUUGAGGCACCGAUGUAAUGAAUGUGAAAGUAGUUUGUAAAUCCAUAAUUUGCCAUACAAUUAAUAGCUGUUGUUUACUAACCUGUAGGUAGCCACCAUGUACUUCUAUAUAGCUUUUGCAUAGUAUCUGAAGUCUAACACAGGGAGUUUUUAGAUUUUUUUUUUUUUUUUUUGAGAUGGAGCUUCGCUCUUAUUGCCCAGGCUGGAGUGCAAUGGUGCGAUCUCUGCUCACUGCAACCUCCACCUCCUGGGUUCAAGUGAUUCUCCUGCCUCAGCCUCCCAGGUAGCUGGGAUUACAAGUGCGUGCACCACCACACCCGUCUAGUUUUGUAUUCUUAGUAGAGACAGGUUUUCACCGUGUUGGCCAGGCUGGUCUCGAACUCCUGACCUCAGGUGAUCCACCCGCCUCAACCUCCCAAAAUGCUGGCAUUACAGGUAUGAGCCACUUUGCCCGGCCUUUAGAACAUUCUUUACAAGUAAGUUAGAGGAAUGUCAAUAGGAGCAGGGUGUAGUCGUUUACUAAUAUUGGAAGAUACCAGAUUUCUGGAUUUUUAGGGUUAGUCUCUUUUGUUAAACAUUAAUAUUCUCUAGAACUCAAUUACUUUUGAAUAACUUGCAGAAAUUCCCAGAAUUCUAGGAUCUUUGCGGAAGAGCUAUCUUCCCCUAUUUGUGGUAUUAUUUGUGAUUUAGACAUUCUUCCUGGAUUCUAGAAUGUUAUAUCAUGAAGUUCGUUACUCACCCCCCUCAGUUAGCCUACGACUUGACCUUUUUUUAAUACCAGUUUUGGAAGACAGGCCUAACACUUGUGUAUUCCAUCACAUCUUGAUUUCAUAGAGUUACGUUGUGGAGGAUAUGGUUCAACUCACAUUUUAUCUGAAAUAUUAAACAGCAGACCCUUUACGAUAGGACCCCGCAGUACUGCUUUCAUUCACUUGUCCUCAGCUCCGCGCUGAUUUGUUCUUCAGGAUUACUAUCUGUUUUGGGUUAACUGUUUUGCAGUUCUUAGACACAGAACUGCAUUAUCAACCAAAAUAAAAGAGCUAUUCUCCCUGAUGUGCCUUCCUUCUUCUUCCUGAUCCUAGGAUGAUGAGGCUAAAGUUUCCAGCUGGAUCUGGCUCGGCAUUUCUGGGAUAAAUUAAAUGAGCACACUUGAUUGAGGGGUAGCUGCACUGUAUCCCUGGCUUCCUAUUAUGCUAGGAGAUCAAAGCAGAGCACAAAUAGAGGCUUGCUCUAUACAAUAUUCAAAACAGAUGGCUUUUUUUUGGUGAAAAUUCAGGUUUUAAGGCAAAACACUUGUUAGCAAAACUUCAUUUCUUUUCAUUGAUAGAUAGUCACUACUGAACACAUAGCACUGUUUCUUCCUGUAUUUCAAGACUAGGAUCACAAACUUUUUGCAGGAGGAGGGAUUUGGCAAGCCUAGAAAGGUAUUAGAUUGUCUGUGUCUUCAUGUGAAUAUGAAAUAAGUUAUUAAGAUUUUGCUGUUGGUAUUCUAGAAUCAAAUGAAAACAUCUUACAUUUGGUCACAUAAU